CCGUGGCAUCCUGCAGAGCUUGGCUUGACAUCAUUCCUGCUGGCCUCAUCAUUUUGAUGUGCACCUGACUCUCCAUGAGCCUGGAAGCUGUGACAAGGAAGAGUGAGCAAGCAACGCUCGCGGGUGACUGGCAUCAGGCCACCAUCAAACCACAACACCAAGAAAAGUCUAAAAUUCUUUAUUUAGUUUCUCCUGGGCACUUGCCUGUUAGCUAAUCUAUUAGCUUUACUUUUAUUUUUUUCAGGAAUAACCUUCUUUGCCUACAUAGUGAAGUAAAGUAAUUUUAUAGUGUUUUUAUCUUGCAUUUCACAUUUGUUCCUUGCUAGUGAAUUCAAUGGACCAUUCUUAACUGCAGCCUAAAAUUGUUGAUUAUGGCUCACACACACCCGAAGUAAUACUAAACUCUGGAUGAGCACUUGUAAAUUCAGACAUAUCAACUGCUUGAACAAGAUCCACAGAAAAGAGAGAAAAUUCCCUUUUUCAGAAAUGCAUGGUAAUCUGCCAAGAACUAUUAUAGAUACAAAUGAACGUGAGAGAAAAUAAAAACAGUUAUAAAUGGCAGAAAAUCCUAAGAUUCAAACAUGUAAAUGCAUGACAGCCAAGAGAGAGGGAAAGCAUUCAUUAGAAUGGAGAGGAAUCACUCCAUAUACGAAUGAGAAUUCUUUGUUCAAGGAGCAAUCCCUCAUCACAUCAAUAUGCUUCUAGGACAUUUCCAUGAACAUACAGAUGAACAAGGUACAGAGAAGGAUGCUGAAAACAGCAACACCACUCAAGGCAAAAUAGCAUCUGGACAAGAGUAUAUAGACCAGAAGUCUUCAGCCUGGAAGAACAAAAUCAAAGAAGGAUGAAAUAAAGAAACCUCCCAGACUCCAUGUCUCCUAAUAGGGAACAUUACUGGUCUCAUUCCACAGCCUGGCUGAAUCAGAAAACUCAGCACCGAAAACCAAGCAAGCAAGAUGUCAAAAUUCUCAGCCUGAAAGAAAAACAGCAGCACCAGCCAUUGAUUUUCAGGUAGGAAUUCUUGUCAUCCUGGAAGGUGAAUUAAAUUCAGCUUCAAGCAACACCAGCUGUUUGAUUGACUGCUGACAUUGGCAGAUGCUUUGAGCAGAAGGGCCACCCCUCACAGACCUGGGCUGAGCAGUGCCUGCAGCUGAAACAGCAGCAUGGGUACAUGGACCACAGAUACAGGGAUGGAAUCCCACAUUUCACCAAAAUAAAAUUCACGUUACAAAUGGAAAUAGUUAAAAACAAACAAACAAACAAACAAACAAACAAACAAACAAACACACCAAAACCCACUUGUUAAACUAUAUGGAACCAAAGCCUGAGGAGAGUGAACCAAGACUCAAGUGUAAGGAUUAAGUCCUGGAGGAGUCGUUAACACAAGGUUCACACCAGAUUUAGUGCUUCUGUAAGUGAAGGAGGUGGAACUGUGGCUUUGACUAAUUUUAUUUAAAGUAACACAUCUAAAGGAUUAUUUCCAGUAACAGAGUGAAAAGCAAUGUAGGAAAUUAUUUAUUAUUAUUAUUAUACUGAACUAGAAAUCAAAAGCUGGAAUGAGAGAAUAGAUUUUAGGACAGAACCUAAUCUAGUCAGGAGUAGAAAAAGAAAGAACAGCAUAGGCAGGUCAGAUAGUUUAAUCAUACACUUGGGGGGCCAUCAGAUAGCUGAAUUAUGCUGCAGACAGCUUCAGAUCCAAGUUUGGGUAGUUCAACUAAAUCAAAACUGGUCAGAUCACAGCCUGAAUGCAAAACUACAUUUCUGAAGUAAUCAGUGUUGUGAUUUUUGUACUAUAACUAUCCAGCCAGAUUGGUAGUAUUUCUGGUCAUGUAUCAACCUUUAACAAAGGAAGAACAUAACUGCCUUUUCAUUUGACCAUUUAUAUUUCAUUAAUCACAAUGUCCUUAUUAUGCAGAAAAUUAGACUGAAUUAGAAAUGAACAUAAAAUUGAAUUACAUCUCAAGUAAAAAUAUAGAUUCCCUAAUAGUUUAUCCUUGUCAAACCAGCAAUUCAAUGAUCUCUUCUCUGUGAUGGGCCUUCUAGGGACUCUUUGCUCAAGGAUAAAUGAAGUUCUCCACCCUUUAAGUACCUGGAGCACUUCUUUGUAGGAAUACUGAUCAAUUCAAAUUCCAGCUCUGCAUAGCAAGGAAGCUGAGGAUCUUCAAAACCAUAACCUGAUUUGGUUUUCUGGAUCCAUCUCUACUGCUAGAUCUAGCAGAGCACUACUUGUGCACUUGCACAGGCAAGUAUAACUUAGGCUAAAAUUGCUAAGAAACAUCAGCAUUUUUUUUCAUGACACGUCAAGUCUCUGUAUGGGGAGUGAUGGAGAAGCAUCUGCUUUACUUGACUAUAAAGCCAGUCCUUUCUCCUUCCUUUAGGAAAAAAAAAUAAUGGAACAUUACUUACCUCACAGGAUUCUUUAAUUAAUGAUUAAAUUUAGAACAGACAUUUUUAUGUCUGUCUUUAUAUUUGUACAUUUUCAAUUUAUCAGUAAAUCACCCAUAUUAUCUAUGUGAAAUCCAUAUUUGUUUACAGUACAGCGUGUAAGCCUUAGGCAAUAUUUUUCACAAAUCAUUUCUGUUUCUCUGAAGAAAACUUCCUUUUACUAUGUAUUUAUGCAAAGUUUUUUCUAAGUAUAAAUAAAU